rnacentral:lncRNA from 1 species
UNCCCUGCAUCGGAUCUGGCGAGGCCCACCCUGCCCUGCAUCGGAUCUGACACGGCCACCUCCAACCUUCUUCCUCCCCACCCAUCACCAAGCGACUGGGCCUCCUACCACCUUCCUCUGUGGCCGGAGUACAUCAUCUGUGCUGGUGGUCUCCCCACAUGGGAGAACACCUACUACUUGGGUGAGAAGGGGGAUGCCAAUAGACGGGCAACUCCAUCGGAUCUGAUGCAUGGAAACAAAACAUCGUCAUCACGUCCACGUCCCAGUGCACUCCACAGUCUCCCCGGCUGAGCACCGAGGCAUGCCCGAGAAAAGCGAGAAGAUAAACAUGUGAGGUCACGAGGAGUCCUCCUUGAUCCCACUCCUUUCUUCGAUCGUCAACGGGUUCUCUGGCUUAUGUGGUAGGGCACCGGCCAUCGUAUCUCACCUCGACCCCAUGCGCCCUCCCCACUCAUUUCUUCUGGCCUUCUUGUCGAAACGGGCUUAACCUCGUGUCGACAAGGGUUUUCUUUUCUCUGAAGAAAAGAGGGGGAUCAAAAGGAGGUUCGUGUUUCUUCAGAGGUUCGGUUUUCAGACUCUCGUUUCAUCCUUUUCCUUUCCUAAUUUUGAUUGCUGGGGUUUUAUGAUUUCCCCGUGUUUGAUUGGUGCCCUGUAAUUACAAGAAAAUAAAGUUUUCUUGAUUUGAGCCAACAAGUUUCAGAAAAGGAGAAGAUCCUGAGAUUGCUCAUUGUUUCUGCUUAAUCUCGUGGUAGCAUUUCUCCCCAAGGCUGGUUGCUUGACUACGUUUCAUAAAUAUUUUUCAUGUGCAGCUCGGUGACGCGCCAUGUGCAGUUUGCUCCUAGUCACCGCGCAUGUAUGCAAUACCACUUGCGCGUCUAUGGCGUGUCCAAGAAGUACAUCGAAGGGGCAUUCGAUGGUGAGCUGCUCCCUCUCAACGGCAAUAACAAAUGUUGUUUACCCACGCGGGUGAAGUUUGCCCCGGUUCUCAAUGGGGUUCGGUUGCCCUGGUGUUGAAGUGCGCAUGGAUUUUUUCUUAUCCUCGGGAGCAUGUCGUGGACGUGCAGCUCGCGGUGUACUAGAAAAAAGAAUGAAAAUUUUCUUUUUUGAAGUUUCACUUUGUUCUUGAAUGUGUGGGGAAAAUGUAUAUAGCGUUUGCACGCGUUUUUGAAUGUCUGCAUGUGUUUUGUUACGACACCAUUUUCGCUCUAGUUUUUAAACCGUUAGUCGGAAUGAGGCGUAUAAUAUACCAUUGGAUUGUUACGGAAAAUUCUCAGCUUCAUCAUGUUGAACACUUUUCGAGAUUACUCGCGGUUUGAGAGGAGUUUCAAAAAUAGUGGGUGCAUAACGGGCUGUAGGGAGCGUAUUUUUGCCCAUUUUUUUUUCCUAAACCGCUCGUUGGAAUGAAGCAAAUGAUAUGGCCUUGGAAAUACAUUGUCGAGAUGCAUCUUUUUCAUGUAGAUUACUCUCUCUAAUUUCUUAUUAUUUGAGAGUAAUUCCAAAUUUACUAAAAAAAUGGAAUUAUGUUUUUCAAAAUUUUCGAUUUUUUCGGUACGUUUUUCGCUGCAGUUUUUAAACCGUUCGUCGAAACGAGGCAUAUGAUACAUCAUUGAAAAUCUGUCAAAUAGGUUCACCUUUCAUAUGUUGACCAUUUGUUGAGAUUCCUCGUGGUUUUAAAUGAAUUUUGAAACGGUGUGGCUACCUACAAGUGGCAGCAACCGUAUUUUCGUAUUUUUUUCAAAUCGCUUGUCGGAACAAUGCAAAUGAUACUGCGUCGGAAAGAUAUCGACAAGCCACAUGUUUUUCCUGUACAACACUCUC